rnacentral:misc_RNA from 1 species
UUUCCGUAGGUGAACCUGCGGAAGGAUCAUUAAAGUACAAUAUGUGAGGGGCAUGCGCGGGCUGUCGCUGACCCAGAAGACGUGCACGCCCGAUUGUGUCCUCUUGCAUACUAGUCCAUUUCACCCUUUGUGCAUCACCGCGUCGUCACCCUUUGGGAUGAUCUCGGAGGUUUGCUCGCGCUUUCACACAAACCCCCCAUUUAAAAGUGUAGAAUGACCACAUUUAUACAAUCAACACAACUUUCAACAACGGAUCUCUUGGCUCUC